CACGUAGGGGCGAGCGUUGUCCGGAAUUACUGGGCGUAAAGCGUGCGCAGGCGGUUUGCUAAGACAGGUGUGAAAUCCCCGGGCUUAACCUGGGAACUGCGCUUGUGACUGGCAGGCUAGAGUACGGCAGAGGGGGUGGAAUUCCUGGUGUAGCAGUGAAAUGCGUAUAUAUCGGGAGGAACACCGGUGGCGAAGGCGGCUUUCUGGCCAGUUACUGACGCUCAUGCGCGAAAAGCUGGGGUAGCGAACCGGAUUAGAUACCCGUGUAGUCCCU
rnacentral:rRNA from 1 species